CGGGCGGGGCGGAGAGAGGUCGAUGGAGAGGCGACGAUGAGGUCGAGAGUUCCGUGCGUCGGUCGUUCCGCUUCCGUCGUGGGACGGUCGACUCCUGGAACGUCCCGUCUCUGCUCACGAGCCACCUGGCACAGCAGGACGGGCAGAGUGUCCCGGCCCUGGCCCCGCCCCGCCCCGCCCCGCUUUCGCACCUGUUGUAAGGCGUGGAGAAGGUGGCCAUGACGACGUCGCGCCCGCUGACGUGGAUGACGUCGGUGACGGCCUGCAGGAUGUUGAAGUAGAAGUGGGAGUCGCCGGGGAUGGAGCAGUUGAGGCGGGUCUUGAGGAAGGAGGUCCACUGCUUCUCCAGCACCCUCUGGGAGCCGCCCCGGUCGUUCUUACACACCCUCGCCACCCGCGGGAACACCACCUGCGCACCGCACAAGCGCCAGGGGGGAAGGAGAGGGAAGUCCUUCGGAGAGGAUAAUCUACGACCGCACAGAGUGUCUUCAACCCCAUCUGUCGCAGGCGUGAGUUCUUCAGACGCUCGGGCGAGCACACUUGGGCAAGUGCUACGAAACCGUCGCAAAUAACUGACUUUACAGCGUCCCGGAAGAAAAAGAGAAAAUGGCUCGAUAAAAACAAAAAAAAAAACCGAAACGAACACCGUUCUGCGAAAAAGGUCCAUGCUGUGCACAGUCCAUUAAGUGUGACAACACCUGCUGCGGUGAAAUACAUAAGUGGUACUCAUGUACGGUACAAUGGAACAAAAAACAAAUAAAAAUGUAAUAAUACAGUAUAAAGUGCAUAUUACACUGA